AUUUUCCUUUCUCCAGCAUUGAAAUUAGCCAUUUCUCUUGAGGAGAGCUAGUUCUUUUUGGUGGAUAAUGGUGUUUUUAGAAACCAAGGGCUAGGUACUUAAUGUACCCAGUUUCUAAGGUGUUGUUACUUCUAGGCCCUUUUCAUCUAUGUAUUUAUCUACCUACCUAUAAUUUAUCUGUAAUUGAGAGAGAGAGAGAGAGAGAUUAUCUAUCUAUCUAUCUAUAAUCACACCACAUAUAUUGCUUGCAUUUGCAUCUCUCUUCUGCCACAAUGAGAUCCCUGGCUUUCAACAUCAAAAUGUUUAUUUAUCUGCUCAAGCCUGUAAAAUACUUUCAGAAUUGAAGCACAAAGUAUUCUAUCAAUGACAAACAUUCCAAAGUUGGAAAUUCCUUUGCAAAUCUCUUUGCUUUUAGAAUAGGUCCCACCGAGGGCAUAUUGUCAAAGCUGUGUUUAGGACAUUGUAUCCUGAUGAAAUUAUUCUGUUGAGGCCUGAUAGUAAGGUGUGGGCAUCCCAGGGUCAAUCACUGGGAAGAAGAGUACUUUGACCAGGACCACAGGUGCAGAAGGGCAGCCUUAGCCAGGUCGGGGCUAGACACUCUGUAUUUUGGCCUUGCUUUCUAGGCCCUGCCUUCGAGGCAGCAAUUCCUGUGCUUUUGUGAGCAAGGAAAAAAAGAGCAGAGACAGCUGAGAGGCAUAUGGCCUGUAGACUCAGGCCACUCUGUAACCAGAGCAUCCAGCUGCAUUCUCUCUCAGGCUUGAUUUCCUGUUAGCUAUUCCAAGUCAUAGAAACCCUUAGCUUGACCUCUUUGGGUCUGAGGGAAUUGAGUCCACACUUGGGCUACAGUGCCAGGGAACAGGAGGGUCCCCUGAGGCCUUUACACUGGGAGAGAACACCCAGGGAAAAGCAGAUUUCAGAGUACACUGGCCUGGGCUAGAGAUCCUCUCCACUGCUAUCCAAACCCUUCCCAGGAGCUAGGCUGCAUUUUGCUGAGGGAAAUGAAGGAAAUGGGAGUUUCCUGACAUCCAUUCAUUGUUUAAUUAAGGAACAGAAUGGGCUUGGUCCUUAGGUGAAUAGUGACCCAGUGUCAGAAUCCAGGUUUCUCUGACACCUGACAACCACAUAGACAUUAGAGUGCAGCAGCACAGGCCCACUCGGUCACACAUGAGUAGCAAACCCAUUAAUGAUGAUUUUAUGUGUUGUUCUACGGUGAAAGGCAGUAAUUUAUGACAGACUCAGAUCCUCUGUGUAAAAAGCGCCGUCAUACACCAUUGUUCAAAAUGAAAACUCUAUACACAGCAACCUGACAAUAGUUGUCUGGCUUGCAUACUUCUGUGACAGGGAGCCCCCUCCCUCUGGCUCUUGGUGAAAUACUGCAAACUUCUUUAACAGAACCCAAACCUUCUCCUGGACCUCUACCCAUUGCUGUCUGUCCUCCCUCAGAGGCUUCCCAGAAAACCCCCAAGCUCUCAGAGUUAGGAGGGAAGAUCUGCCGAGAAGGGACAUAGCACCCAUGUUUUCCUCCUUGAAAUGAUCCCUGUCCUGCAGCCUGCAGAGUUUACCACUGAUCUGUAGCCCUAGAAUCGAGCUCAGUUCUCAAGUAUCAGCAACCUGCCUGCCCCUGCUCCAGGUCUCCUUAGCCCUCAAAAUGUGUCUUCCACCAGUGACACAUAAGUUACACGUGGCUUAACCCACUGGGUAGUUUUUACAGAACUGCUGAGACCUCUGUCCUUCUCCUCUGUGGCCAGCAUUCCUGCCUGGUUCCCCUUUACCCCCUCCUCUGCCGUCCCAUCUUCAUUGAAUCCUGAACCCCUAAUUCUGACAUCUGGCCUUUUAGCGCCCCCAGAGUGGGCAGCGCUGCUUCCAACACAUCUCCCCGCGGAAUAAACCUCCAGAUCUCCUGGUCAUUCUCAUUGUCCGCACACAGCCCCAUCUCCGUGCCGCAGGACCUGGGUCACCAAGGUAGGAGUUAGGGGUAAUUUAGUGGUGAAGUUUCCUUCCUUGUGAGGCUGGGGGAUGGGGAGUCCGUGAAUACAACCAAGUGACUCUUGUACUGAAUCCCAAGACAAAGGGAGGGGACCACGCCUCUUCUCUGAGUCCUGCGGAUCCUGCCUGGGACUAGGGUUCACUGUGGUCUGGCAGUCACACCUCUGGGGAAGGCGGCCACCUGAGGGCGGGGCUGAGGAAUCACCGUCAGAACGCUUGUGUGGCGUCAUUGUCGUGCACCAAAUCACCGCUAGAGGGCACCAGAGAACCACCGGGCGGCUCCAACCCGCGAUGGGGACACAAACUACUGUGGUUCAGUAGGGCUGGCAAUGGUGAGGCGGUGGUGACGUUCGAUGCUACUCUGGAAGGCACUCGCUGGCCUUCAAAGAGGCCAGAUUUCUAAGCACCGUGGUGGACUCACCCCACAGGAGAGCCCAGGCCACAACUAGAACUGAACACAGGCUGACCUAGUAUGGGCUGGGGGUGCAGCGCAGGGCCAGCGUGGACAGGGUACCAACCCCUGCAGAUGCCAUGCUGGGAUCUUGCAUCUGGGCCUGAGCCUGGGUUUCAGGCCCACUUCUCUGACCUGUCGCAAUGACUGCAUUUCCACAAUUUUAAGAAUGCUUUUCUUGGCCAACAUGGAUGACUCGCCUAUAAAGACUUCCAACAGGCCUUUUCUCUUGUUUUUCUUCCUUGUUUCUCACGUGAGCAGUUACCUAAACAAUCACUGAUUUGGUCAUUCAAUGCAUAACUAUUAAGCACUACUAUUUUCCAGCUACUGUUGUGGGCUCAGGGAUGCAGCAUCUCCCACUUUAGUAAGACCAGAAGAGUUUCCAUGAGAAGUGGGCUCAGAGGGAGAGUGGGGUGGCCUCAACCAAUAACAGCAGCCGUAAGGACGUGGAGGUUUGCUUGGCCAUAAGCAACAACGUGCUGGUUGCCAGGGUGAGGGUUCUACUCACAUCAUCUUGUUGAAGUCUCCCAAGAAUCCAACGAUUGGAAGCAGCCCCCACCCCACCCCACUACUUCUCAAGGAGUGAUUUUACAGAUAAGAAAACUGAGGCACAGAGAGGUUAUAUGACUUGCCCAGGAUCUCCAGGUGAUGUUGUGCCCAGCAGAGGCAGUGCCUGUCUGUGAUGGCAGGAGGGCGGAAGUGCUCACACCUGGCUCCUGGUCCGGCUGCUCAGUGGGAGGCACACAGAAGCUGCCUGGGAAAGCCUUGCUCAUCUGUGCAGAGAGAGGAGAGCAGCUGGCUUGCGAGUCCCUCUGCAGGAUACAGUAUUCACUAUGUAGGUCAGUGGACCCUGCAAAUGUCUUGCAUUGUCCGGCUGCACAAAGUCCUGGCGGGAGGUGGAGGUGUUGAGGCCUGAAAGGUCAAAGACUUUGGUCCUGCUAUGGACUUGCUGGCUGACCUUGGCCAAGUCCUUUCCCAGACCUCAAUUUCCCAUUUGCAAAGUGAACCUGGAUGUUGACUUACAGUGUGGUUAAUAUGAGCCUGGAUCAUUAAGGGAGGACUCUAUUUGUCCUAAAUUUCUUUAUUCAAAGAUGUAUUUUGCAUGUGUGUGCACUGUGCUGGAUGCUGGGCACAGGGUGUAGAAGACCAAUGUGGAUGCUUGCUUCCUUGGAGCUAGAUUCUGGUAGACACAGAUGUUUGAUGAACCACACAGAAUAGCUAUGAAGACCAGUGGUGACAAGUGUUCCCAAGGAGAACACCAAGGUCCUUCGAGAAGUACUGAUCAGCUAGUCUGGGAAGGCUUUCCAAAGUGGUGAUAUUAGUUGGAGACCUGAAGGAUGUGUAAACCUAGGGAAGAUCUUCCUGGUAUGGGAAGGACUGAAAUGGCAAAGACUUCAGUAUAUUUUAGAAACCAAAAGGAGCUAGUGUGGCCAGGGUGUCAUAAUUUAGGGGCAGCAGGGGGUCUUACUGGGUGACAUGGAUACAGACAACAGGGGAGCUUGGGGGGAAUGUAAAUAUAGGACCAUGGGUCUGGGGGUGGGGAGUGUCCCAGGAAGCUGCACUUUUAAGCAGCAACCAGGAGAUGUGGUGCUGCUGGCCCAGGGACCACUCUUUUGGCAGCAAAGCCUUUAAAAGAUUUUAAACACUGGGCAGGGUAGUGCAUGCCUAUAAUGCCCACACUCCGGGAAGCUCAGGCAGGAGGAUUAUGAGUUUAAGCACAACAGGAGCAAUUCAGCAACAUAGCAUGACUCUGUCUCAACAAUGACAACAACAGGCUGGGGCUGGAGCUCAGUGCAAAGGCCCUGGGUUCAAUCUCAGUAUGGGGGGUGUUAAACAAUGGGGUGACAUUGGUUCUUCAGAUCAGAAGUUCUUUGGUUAAGAAUGAGGAUUCCCUUUGUCCUCUGGCAUGGAGAGAGUAAUGGUUAAGCUGUGACACAGCUACUCUGUGGGUUCUGACUCUGGACCAGACAGAGGCACCCUGUGCUUCUGUAUGGUCUAUGUGGGGCUAGCUUGGCAGUGGGGCUGGGGGAUUCAGGUCCAGGCAAGGAAAGUGAGGCGUCCAGAGGGCUCCACACACCUCACCCAAUUAUGGGGCUGUUGGUGGGGUUCACCAAACUCUCCUCUCCUGGUGCUGUGGGUGGCUCAGGUCCCCGGGUCUGGCCGUGGCGCUUUUGUAGAAAGGGUCUUCAACCUUCUGACCAGCUCCCAGGGCUGCCUCACAGAAUUUCCUCCCUGGCCAUUCUUGCCUCUUUUUAAAAUAUAAGUGAAUUAUAAAGUCAAUUCAAAAAAUAUGUGAUAAAAGUGGUAGGUGUUUUUUUGAGAGAGAAAGUGAGUGAGCGAGAGAGAGUGUUGGGAGGAUAUUUGACUUUUCUGAGCUGUGUUUCAGCACCUCCACCUGCUUCUUUCUCUGGGGAGCAGGUGAGUCGGCGCUGCCUCUUUUGGGGGAGAUGGAGGAGCCCCCCAGGGAAGCCUGGAGAGGGAGGGGAAAGGACAUGAGAUUCCGACCCCAUGCCCAUCACUCCCCAGCUGUGUGAUUUUGAACACAUCUCUGGGCCUCUCUGAGCUGUGACUUCCUCAUCUACAACCUUCCAGGGCUGGCAAGGCAAUCAAGGGAGGCAACCGGUGUGUUUACAGCCUGUAGAGGCUGAAAGCCCGAGCUUGAUGUGUCAACCAUCAUUAUCUCCAACUGCAGAGGGACACGGCGAGCUGGCGCUGGAGGAAGCUUCCAGAUCCUGCAGGGGCUGGACUGCUUAUCUCAACAGCAGCAGCCCCACAUCUCUGAAGUAGCAAAGCUAGAAGCUGUCAUUUCAAGGUUACUCCUCCAAAAUUGCCCUGACUUCUCCCGUGGUUAUCUCAGCAUUCACUGAUGUCAUCACACGUGGGCCUGUCCUGAGCUGGGCAGCUGUCAGUGAUGUACUCUCUGUCAUUAGAGAUGGGAGUGAAGGCAACCACGAUGAUCAUCUGGUUCUGGAGUCAGAUCUGAAUUUGACAUGAACUAAUUGUGUGAUCUUGGACAAAUCCUCUGACUCCACUGAGCCAGAUUCCUUGUCUAUAAAAUGGAGAAAUACCCAUAUAAGCCACCUUUGGUGACCAGAGCCUGGGUUACAACAACUGUUCAGAAGAAGCCAGCUAAAUGACAGAGAUGACAUUUCUAAAUGUCACCUCCCACUGUUGUUGAGAGAAGAGAUUAAAAAACUACAGAUUUUGCUCACUGCCUGUUUUUGUAAAUAAAGAUGUAUGGAAACACAGCCACACCCAUUCAUUUACAUAUUUAUCCAUAGGUGGUGUCAUUCGAUAAAGCAGACCUGAGUAGCUGCAAAAGAGAGAGUAGAUCCUGCAAAAUUGCACGUAUUUACUACCUGGCUCUUUAUAGAAGAAACUUGACUGACCUCUUGUUUAGAAAAAAGUGCAUUUCUCUAGUUCUUUAAAAAACUUCAGGUAUUGGACUCGUCCAGGCUGGCCUUCUUGUAGGGCCAGCUCACUACAGCCUUCAGUGUGAAUAGUGCCCCUGGGUAUAUCACCCAUUGCCCUGCCCUCCUGCCAUUACUUGGGGAGCUGAUUCUUCAAGGUGGCAGGAGAAGCUCUCCUCUGGCCUUUCCUUAGGCUCAGCCCAGAUGAGGUUCUGUGUCACAGUCUGUGCUAGUACCAAGUUCUAUUUGUCCUCAAAAACAUCUGCCCCCAGAACAGAAGGUCUCCUCUCUGAGUUACUACUUCAUCGCAACAGUUCAAUUUGAUCCUAGUGAGAGGCAGAAUAAAGACUAUAAUAAGCUUCUUAUUUAAGAUUUUAUGAUUGGUCUUUAGAAAAAAUAGUAAUGAGGCAUAAAAAUGUUGAAUUUGGGGAGAAUUAACUUGUCAUGUAUCAAUAUUUUCUUUAAUAGGUUUCUUUCCUUCUAAUGUCUUUAAAAAUGUGGCCAUAUGGGGUGAUACUUGUGUAUAUGUGUUUGGGGAGGGCCUGCCACUGUAAGUGGAGUGCAAAGGGGUGGAGACUAAGGAACAAGAGAAAAGAUAAGAAGACUGUAAUAAAAAGGUAUAGGAUUGCAUUUAUAAAUUUAUGUCAAACUAACAUAUGUAUAAGUAAAA